rnacentral:rRNA from 1 species
AUUGAACGCUGGCGGCAUGCUUUACACAUGCAAGUCGGACGAGUGGCGGACGGGUGAGUAACACGUGGGAACCUACCCAUCAGAGGGGGAUAACUACUGGAAACGGUAGCUAAUACCGCAUACCAUCAGAUGUGCCCAGAUGGGAUUAGCUAGUAGGUGGGGUAACGGCUCACCUAGGCGACGAUCCCUAGCUGGUCUGAGAGGAUGACCAGCCACACUGGAACUGGGACACGGUCCAGACUCCUACGGGAGGCAGCAGGGGGGAAGAUUGAACAAGGGGGGCAAGCCGGAUGCAGCCAUGCCGCGUGUGUGAAGAAGGCCUUCGGGUUGUAAAGCACUUUCAGCGGGGAGGCGUUACCCGCAGAAGAAGCACCGGCUAACUCCGUGCCAGCAGCCGGGUAAUAC